rnacentral:rRNA from 1 species
GAUGAACGCUGGCGGCGUGCUUAACACAUGCAAGUCGAACGAAACACCUUAUUUGAUUUUCUUCGGAACUGAAGAUUUGGUGAUUGAGUGGCGGACGGGUGAGUAACGCGUGGGUAACCUGCCCUGUACAGGGGGAUAACAGUCAGAAAUGACUGCUAAUACCGCAUAAGACCACAGCACCGCAUGGUGCAGGGGUAAAAGCUCCGGUGGUACAGGAUGGACCCGCGUCUGAUUAGCUGGUUGGUGAGGUAACGGCUCACCAAGGCGACGAUCAGUAGCCGGCUUGAGAGAGUGAACGGCCACAUUGGGACUGAGACACGGCCCAAACUCCUACGGGAGGCAGCAGUGGGGAAUAUUGCACAAUGGGGGAAACCCUGAUGCAGCGACGCCGCGUGAGUGAAGAAGUAUUUCGGUAUGUAAAGCUCUAUCAGCAGGGAAGAAAAUGACGGUACCUGACGAAGAAGCCCCGGCUAACUACGUG